rnacentral:rRNA from 1 species
CGUAGGGUGCAAGCGUUAAUCGGAAUUACUGGGCGUAAAGCGUGCGCAGGCGGUGAUGUAAGACAGGUGUGAAAUCCCCGGGCUUAACCUGGGAACUGCAUUUGUGACUGCAUCGCUGGAGUGCGGCAGAGGGGGAUGGAAUUCCGCGUGUAGCAGUGAAAUGCGUAGAUAUGCGGAGGAACACCGAUGGCGAAGGCAAUCCCCUGGGCCUGCACUGACGCUCAUGCACGAAAGCGUGGGGAGCAAACAGGAUUAGAUACCCUGGUAGUCCACGCCCUAAACGAUGUCAACUGGUUGUUGGGUCUUCACUGACUCAGUAACGAAGCUAACGCGUGAAGUUGACCGCCUGGGGAGGUACGGCCGCAAGGUUG